rnacentral:rRNA from 1 species
CAGUAGCCACGGUAAUACGAAGGGGGCUAGCGUUGUUCGGAAUUACUGGGCGUAAAGCGCACGUAGGCGGAUACUUAAGUUAGGGGUGAAAUCCCAGGGCUCAAUCCUGGAACUGCCUUUAAUACUGGGUAUCUUGAGUUCGAGAGAGGUAAGUGGAAUUCCGAGUGUAGAGGUGAAAUUCGUAGAUAUUCGGAGGAACACCAGUGGCGAAGGCGGCUUACUGGCUCGAUACUGACGCUGAGGUGCGAAAGCGUGGGGAGCAAACAGGAUUAGAUACCCGUGUAGUCCCUGUCUCUUAUAC